GACGAACGCUGGCGGCGUGCUUAACACAUGCAAGUCGAACGGGCCUGUCUUCUUUUUUGGGGGUGGGUUGAGUGGCGAACGGGUGAGUAUCACGUGAGUAACCUGCCCUUCGGUCCUGGAUAACCGCUUGAAAGGGCGGCUAAUACGGGGUGGUCCGGUUGGUCCGCAUGGGCUGGUCGGGAUAGAUUCACUGUUUUUGGUGUUUCGGCGGGGGAUGGGCUCGCGGCCUAUCAGCUUGUUGGUGGGGUGAUGGCCUACCAAGGCGGUGACGGGUAGCCGGCCUGAGAGGGGGGGCGGCCAGACUGGGACUGAGAUACGGCCCAGACUCCUGCGGGAGGCAGCAGUGGGGGGUAUUGCACAAGGGGCGGAAGCCUGAUGCAGCGACGUCGCGUGAGGGAGGGAGGCCUUCGGGUUGUGAACCUCUGUUUCCGGUGGUGAAGGCCCUGUCCGUGUGGUGGGGUUGACGGUAGCCGGGGAUGAAGCGCCGGCUAACUACGUG
rnacentral:rRNA from 1 species